rnacentral:rRNA from 1 species
UCCAGACUCCUACGGGAGGCAGCAGUGGGGAAUAUUGGACAAUGGGGGGAACCCUGAUCCAGCGACGCCGCGUGAGUGAAGAAGUAUUUCGGUAUGUAAAGCUCUAUCAGCAGGGAAGAAAGAAAUGACGGUACCUGACUAAGAAGCCCCGGCUAACUACGUGCCAGCGGCCGCGGUAAUACGUAGGGGGCAAGCGUUAUCCGGAUUCACUGGGUGUAAAGGGAGCGUAGACGGCCAUGCAAGCCUGGAGUGAAAGCCCGGGGCCCAACCCCGGGACUGCUCUGGGAACUGUGCGGCUGGAGUGCGGGAGGGGCAGGCGGAAUUCCUGGUGUAGCGGUGAAAUGCGUAGAUAUCAGGAGGAACACCGGCGGCGAAGGCGGCCUGCUGGACCGCGACUGACGUUGAGGCUCGAAAGCGUGGGGAGCAAACAGGAUUAGAUACCCUUGUACCA